CCUGGUAAAAUCGGGUAGCUUAACUAUCUGCAUGCUAGGAAUACUGCUAUACUAGAGGGCGGGAGAGGUCUGAGGUACUACAGGGGUAGGGGUGAAAUCUUAUAAUCCUUGUAGGACCACCAGUGGCGAAGGCGUCAGACUGGAACGUGCCUGACGGUGAGGGACGAAAGCCAGGGGAGCGAACCGGAUUAGAUACCCGGGUAGUCCUGGCCGUAAACGAUGCAUACUAGGUGAUGGCAUGGCCAUGAGCCGUGUCAGUGCCGUAGGGAAACCGUUAAGUGUGCCGCCUGGGAAGUACGGUCGCAAGGCUAAAACUUAAAGGAAUUGGCGGGGGGGCACCACAAGGGGUGAAGCCUGCGGUUCAAUUGGACUCAACGCCGGGAAACUUACCAGGGGAGACAGCAGAAUGAUGGUCAGGUUGACGACCUUACCUGACGAGCUGAGAGGAGGUGCAUGGCCGUCGCCAGUUCGUGCUGUGAGGUAUCCUGUUAAGUCAGGCAACGAACGAGAUCCGCGCCUUUAUUUGCCAGCAAGAAGUCACGACUUCGUUGGGAACACUAAAGGGACCGCCGUCGAUAAGACGGAGGAAGGAGCGGGCAAAGGCAGGUCAGUAUGCCCCGAAACCCCUGGGCUACACGCGGGCUGCAAUGGUAUGAACAAUGGGCUGGGACUCCGAAAGGAGAAACCAAUCCCGAAAUCAUAUCUCAGUGGGGAUUGUCGGCUGUAACCCGCUGACAUGAACGUGGAAUCCCUAGUAAUCGUGUGUC
rnacentral:rRNA from 1 species